AGAGUUUGAUCAUGGCUCAGGAUGAACGCUGGCGGCGUGCUUAACACAUGCAAGUCGAACGAGCGGCCCUCUUCGGGGGGCGGCGAGUGGCGGACGGGUGAGUAACGCGUGGGUAACCUGCCCCAUACAGGGGGAUAACAGCUGGAAACGGCUGAUAAUACCGCAUAAGCGCACAGUGCCGCAUGGUACAGUGUGAAAAGUUCUGGCGGUAUGGGAUGGGCCCGCGUCUGAUUAGCCAGUUGGCGGGGUAAGAGCCCACCAAAGCGACGAUCAGUAGCCGACUUGAGAGAGUGACCGGCCACAUUGGGACUGAGACACGGCCCAAACUCCUACGGGAGGCAGCAGUGGGGAAUAUUGCACAAUGGGGGAAACCCUGAUGCAGCGACGCCGCGUGAGUGAGGAAGUAUUUCGGUAUGUAAAGCUCUAUCAGCAGGGAAGAAAAUGACGGUACCUGACUAAGAAGCCCCGGCUAAAUACGUGCCAGCAGCCGCGGUAAUACGUAUGGGGCAAGCGUUAUCCGGAUUUACUGGGUGUAAAGGGAGCGCAGGCGGCAGGGCAAGUCAGAAGUGAAAACCCGGGGCUCAACCCCGCGGAUUGCUUUUGAAACUGCCAGGCUGGAGUGCAGGAGGGGCAAGCGGAAUUCCUGGUGUAGCGGUGAAAUGCGUAGAUAUCAGGAGGAACACCGGUGGCGAAGGCGGCUUGCUGGACUGUAACUGACGCUGAGGCUCGAAGGCGUGGGGAGCAAACAGGAUUAGAUACCCUGGUAGUCCACGCAGUAAACGAUGAAUACCAGGUGUCGG
rnacentral:rRNA from 1 species